rnacentral:rRNA from 1 species
UACGGAGGGUGCGAGCGUUGUCCGGAAUCAUUGGGCGUAAAGGGCGCGUAGGCGGCCUGGCAAGUGGAAGGUGAAAUCCCUCGGCUUAACCGAGGAACUGCCCUCCAAACUGCUUGGCUUGAGUCCGGGAGAGGUGAGUGGAAUUCCCAGUGUAGCGGUGAAAUGCGUAGAUAUUGGGAGGAACACCAGUGGCGAAGGCGGCUCACUGGACCGGAACUGACGCUGAGGCGCGAAAGCGUGGGGAGCAAACGGG